rnacentral:rRNA from 1 species
UAUGCGAUACCUUGGUGUGAAUUGCAGAAUUCAGUGAAUCAUCGAAUCUUUGAACGCAUCUUGCGCCCUUUGGUAUUCCAAAGGGCAUGCCUGUUUGAGUGUCAUGUUCACCUCAGACCUCUUGAGCCUUUUUAUAAGGUUUGAAUGGAUGGUUUGGUUUUGGAGGCUUUGCUGGCAAGUGGCUUCAUGUGUGCAUGUCAGCUCCUCUGAAAAGCAUCAGCUAGGCUUUGGUUUGCAUGGAUGGUGUGAUAGUCAAGUGUUCACUGGAAAUGCUUUCCUAAGAGGUCUGCUUCUAACCGUCUUCGGACAAGGUCUUUUGAGGCCUUUGCUUUUGACUAUUUGACCUCAAAUCAGGUAGGACUACCUGCUGAACUUAAGCAUAUCAAUAGUCGGAGGAA